AUACUUACCUGGCAAGGGAGAUACCAUGAUCCAGAAGGUGCUUUUCCCAGGUGAGGCUGAUCCAUUGGUCUCUAGAUGUGCUGACUCCUGUGAUUUGCCCAAAUGUGGGAAACUUGGCUGCAUAAUUUGUGGUAUUGGGGGACUGUGUUUGUGCUUUCCCCUU